rnacentral:lncRNA from 1 species
GCUAGUCCAGUCCUCACAGUCCUUGUGAGAUUGUCCACUAUAAAUGCUCAGUUCAGAACCUUCUGCUUCGCAUCAAAAACUUGAUCACAACUGGAUCAAUACAAACUGCUUUUCUUCACUCGAAAAGACUUUUACACAAAUGCUUUUCUUCACUCGAAAAGACUUUCACACAAAUGCUUUUCUUCACUCGAAAAGACUUUCAUUCACAAUGCUUUUCUUCACUCGAAAAGACUUUCUCACAAACACUCAAUCUAACAUGAAAGAAAGACUUGAGAGGGUUACAAUAUUUGUGGGGAAUAUGGGUUAAAUCAACUCAAGUGAGAGAUUGAUAAUAGCAAGCUUUGUCUAUUUGUUUUUCACAAAUUUAUGAUAUAUCUUUAAUGCUUUGCUUUGCUUUUGAAGAGUUUAUUACUUGUUGAUUUUUGCUUCAACUAAGUAUAUGAUUUGAUUCUUUUUGCAAACUCUUAAUCUUCUCUUCAUGUAGCUCCAUUGUAUUUAUAGGCAAAUAUAACCUUGGAGGAGCGUAUGAGAGAGGGAUUUGAAUUUCAAAUCCAACUUGACAUGUCACAAUGUUGUGCUGUCAAUUUACUGUGAAUAGUGCAUUAUCGUUGCUUCAGUAACAU